UCCCUGGUGGUCUAGUGGCUAAGGAUCCUAUGAUCUCACCACUGCAGCCUGGGUUCGGUUCCCGGGCAGGGAA